rnacentral:rRNA from 2 species
CAAUUAAUUUGAGGGGUAAAAAUUAAUAAUUAAAAAAUAAUAAAAUUAAUUUUAAUAUUAAAAUUGGGGGGUUUUAGUAUUAAUAAAGAAAAAAUUAUUAAUUUUAUAGUUAAUUAGUAUUGUAUAAGAAAUUUAAAAUAUAUUGAAAUUAUAUUUAUAUUAAAGUAAAUAUUAUUUAUUGUAUCUUGUGUAUCAGAGUUUAUUAAAUUAAAUUUUUAUAAUUAAAAAUUCUCGAAUUUUAAAGAGUUAAUUAAUUAUUAAAGUUAUUGUUUCAUAAAUAUUUUAAAUAAUUAAUUAGAAAUGAAAUGUUAAUCGUUUUAAAAUAUAUCUAGUUUUUUUAGAAAAAAAUUUAAUUUUAAAUUUAUUUAUAAAUUUAAUUAAUUAAUUAAUUAAUUUAAAAUAAAUUUUAAUAUUUUAAGGGAUAAGCUUUAAAUUAAAUUUUUAUAAUUAUAUUUUUAUUUAAUUAAAAUUUUUAAAAUUUAUAUUGUUUAUAAAAUUUAAUUUAUUAUAAAAUAAUUUUAAUUAAAUUAUAAAAUUUUAAAUUAAUUUAAUUUUUUAUAAAAAAAUAAUUUUAAAUUUUAUAAAUUUAUCUAUAAUGAUAAAAUUAGUAUUAAAUUUAUAAAAAAUUUAUUUAAUAUUUUAAAAUUUAAAUAAAAGGAAUUCGGCAAAAUUUUAUGUUCACUUGUUUAUCAAAAACAUGUCUUUUUGUUAAUAAUUUAAAGUCUAAUCUGCCCACUGAUAAUUAUUAAAGGGCUGCAGUAUAUUGACUGUACAAAGGUAGCAUAAUAAAUAGUUUUUUAAUUGAUGACUUGUAUGAAAGAUUGGAUGAAAUAUAAACUGUCUCUUAUUUAUUAUUAAUUAAUUUAAUUUUUUGAUUAAAAAGUCAAAAUUUAUUUAAAAGACGAGAAGACCCUAUAGAGUUUUAUAUUAAUAUAUAAUAAAAUUAUUUUUUAGAUUAUUAAUUAAAUUAUUUAAUAAUAUUUUAUUGGGGUGAUAAAAAAAUAAAAUUAACUUUUUUUAAUAUAUUAUUUCAUAAAUAAGUGAGUAAUUGAUCCAAAAUUUUUGAUUAUAAGAAAAAAUUACCUUAGGGAUAACAGCGUAAUUUUUUUUUUUAGUUCAAAUAAUAAAAAGAGUUUGCGACCUCGAUGUUGGAUUAAGAUAAAAUUUAUAUGCAAAAGUAUAAAAUUUUGAUCUGUUCGAUCAUUAAAAUCUUACAUGAUCUGAGUUCAAACCGGUGUGAGCCAGGUUGGUUUCUAUCUUUAAAAUAUUAAAAUAUUUUAGUACGAAAGGAAUAAAUAUUUAAAUUAAAUUUAUUUAAUGAAUUUUAUUAAUGUUUAAUUUAAAUUUAAAA